rnacentral:miRNA from 1 species
ACAAGUCGUCCUUGGCUCACC